rnacentral:rRNA from 1 species
UUAGGACGAACGCUGGCGGCGUGCCUAAUACAUGCAAGUCGAACGAACUCUGGUAUUGAUUGGUGCUUGCAUCAUGAUUUACAUUUGAGUGAGUGGCGAACUGGUGAGUAACACGUGGGAAACCUGCCCAGAAGCGGGGGAUAACACCUGGAAACAGAUGCUAAUACCGCAUAACAACUUGGACCGCAUGGUCCGAGUUUGAAAGAUGGCUUCGGCUAUCACUUUUGGAUGGUCCCGCGGCGUAUUAGCUAGAUGGUGGGGUAACGGCUCACCAUGGCAAUGAUACGUAGCCGGCCUGAGAGGGUAAUCGGCCACAUUGGGACUGAGACACGGCCCAAACUCCUACGGGAGGCAGCAGUAGGGAAUCUUCCACAAUGGACGAAAGUCUGAUGGAGCAACGCCGCGUGAGUGAAGAAGGGUUUCGGCUCGUAAAACUCUGUUGUUAAAGAAGAACAUAUCUGAGAGUAACUGUUCAGGUAUUGACGGUAUUUAACCAGAAAGCCACGGCUAACUACGUGCCAGCAGCCGCGGUAAUACGUAGGUGGCAAGCGUUGUCCGGAUUUAUUGGGCGUAAAGCGAGCGCAGGCGGUUUUUUAAGUCUGAUGUGAAAGCCUUCGGCUCAACCGAAGAAGUGCAUCGGAAACUGGGAAACUUGAGUGCAGAAGAGGACAGUGGAACUCCAUGUGUAGCGGUGAAAUGCGUAGAUAUAUGGAAGAACACCAGUGGCGAAGGCGGCUGUCUGGUCUGUAACUGACGCUGAGGCUCGAAAGUAUGGGUAGCAAACAGGAUUAGAUACCCUGGUAGUCCAUACCGUAAACGAUGAAUGCUAAGUGUUGGAGGGUUUCCGCCCUUCAGUGCUGCAGCUAACGCAUUAAGCAUUCCGCCUGGGGAGUACGGCCGCAAGGCUGAAACUCAAAGGAAUUGACGGGGGCCCGCACAAGCGGUGGAGCAUGUGGUUUAAUUCGAAGCUACGCGAAGAACCUUACCAGGUCUUGACAUACUAUGCAAAUCUAAGAGAUUAGACGUUCCCUUCGGGGACUUGGAUACAGGUGGUGCAUGGUUGUCGUCAGCUCGUGUCGUGAGAUGUUGGGUUAAGUCCCGCAACGAGCGCAACCCUUAUUAUCAGUUGCCAGCAUUAAGUUGGGCACUCUGGUGAGACUGCCGGUGACAAACCGGAGGAAGGUGGGGAUGACGUCAAAUCAUCAUGCCCCUUAUGACCUGGGCUACACACGUGCUACAAUGGAUGGUACAACGAGUUGCGAACUCGCGAGAGUAAGCUAAUCUCUUAAAGCCAUUCUCAGUUCGGAUUGUAGGCUGCAACUCGCCUACAUGAAGUCGGAAUCGCUAGUAAUCGCGGAUCAGCAUGCCGCGGUGAAUACGUUCCCGGGCCUUGUACACACCGCCCGUCACACCAUGAGAGUUUGUAACACCCAAAGUCGGUGGGGUAACCUUUUAGGAACCAGCCGCCUAAGGUGGGACAGAUGAUU